UCCGGUUUGGCAUCGGCAGUCUCCCUAGAGUUCCCGGCAUCACCCGCUGGCAACUAAGGACAGGGGUUGCGCUCGUUGCGCCACUUAAGGCAACACCUCACGGCACGAGCUGACGACAGCCAUGCACCACCUGUGCAGGCUCCGAAGAGCACCCGCUUUCACGGUUUCACCCUGCAUGUCAAGCCCAGGUAAGGUGGGGAUGACGUCUGAGAGUACGUCC
rnacentral:misc_RNA from 1 species